UACCAGUGGAAAGGCAGCUCCAAUUGGGAUCUCGGCCAAUAAUUUAGAAAGCAAAUAUGGGCCUAAUGUAUAAGAUCCCUUUGCACGCUCCCUGUCAACAAUUGCACGUUCCUUUGGAAAAACACCCACAGUCUUGGUGAGAGCAGCCAUUGCAGUGUUGAUUGCUGCAACCUGAAGUAAACCCAUCCUAUCCUGGAUUGAUGUUUGAGAUCUUCCCAUUCUCCAAAAGACUGAACCAAAUAUGAUAGCUGAUGCAAUGG
rnacentral:misc_RNA from 1 species